rnacentral:rRNA from 1 species
UACGGGGGGGAGCAAGCGUUGUUCGGAUUUACUGGGCGUAAAGGGCUCGUAGGCGGUUUGUCGCGUCGGGAGUGAAAACCUUGGGCUUAACUCCAGAACUGCCUUCGAUACUGGCGAUCUUGAGUCCGGGAGAGGUGAGUGGAACUCCGAGUGUAGAGGUGAAAUUCGUAGAUAUUCGGAAGAACACCAGUGGCGAAGGCGAGUCCCUGGACAACUACUGACACUGAGGCACGAAAGCUAGGGGAGCAAACAGG